rfam:Punica granatum cultivar Dabenzi scaffold90, whole genome shotgun sequence.
AUGAGAAGAGCCUAUCAGCAUAGCCAAAGGACUGCCUGGAGACCCUGAUAAACUGCAUGCAUGAAAAUAAUAUUAUUUUCUCUUCCGAUAUGCUGCAUGCAUGAUAUAAGAUUGAUCCCCAGGCAAGUCAUCCUUGGCUACUAAAUCGGCUCUUAUCU